rnacentral:rRNA from 1 species
GACGAACGCUGGCGGCGUGCUUAACACAUGCAAGUCGAACGGAAAGGCCCUGCUUUUGUGGGGUGCUCGAGUGGCGAACGGGUGAGUAACACGUGAGUAACCUGCCCUUGACUUUGGGAUAACUUCAGGAAACUGGGGCUAAUACCGGAUAGGAGCUCCUGCUGCAUGGUGGGGGUUGGAAAGUUUCGGCGGUUGGGGAUGGACUCGCGGCUUAUCAGCUUGUUGGUGGGGUAGUGGCUUACCAAGGCUUUGACGGGUAGCCGGCCUGAGAGGGUGACCGGGCACAUUGGGACUGAGAUACGGGCCAGACUCCUACGGGAGGCAGCAGUGGGGAAUAUUGCACAAUGGGCGGAAGCCUGAUGCAGCAACGCCGCGUGCGGGAUGACGGCCUUCGGGUUGUAAACCGCUUUCGCCUGUGACGAAGCGUGAGUGACGGUAAUGGGUAAAGAAGCGCCGGCUAACUACGUG